UACAGAGGUCUCAAGCGUUGUUCGGAUUCAUUGGGCGUAAAGAGCUCGUAGGCGGUUUGUCGCGUCUGCUGUGAAAAUCCAGGGCUUAACCCUGGACCUGCAGUGGGUACGGGCAGACUGGAGUGCGGUAGGGGAGAUCGGAAUUCCUGGUGUAGCGGUGAAAUGCGCAGAUAUCAGGAGGAACACCGGUGGCGAAGGCGGAUCUCUGGGCCGUAACUGACGCUGAGGAGCGAAAGCAUGGGGAGCGAACAGG
rnacentral:rRNA from 1 species